rnacentral:lncRNA from 1 species
GUCUAUCUUUCAGGGCAACUGCAUAGGUCAAAUGAGAUAAUAUUUAAAAUUUUUUUCAGUUAGGUGUAGAAACAAUUUUUGACAUUUUUUUUUCACAUUUUAGAAUUCAAGUUUUUCUCUCUCCUUCCCCUUCCCCUCUUCCUCCCUUCAUGGAAGUGAUGAAUAAUCUGAUAAAGGUUAUAUGUGUACUUUCAUAUGAUACAUAUUCCCCUAUUAUUUUUUUCACGAAGGAAAUCAUAUGUCACACAUUCAAUAGCUAGAUCAUGAAGGGAAUAUAGUGGAAGAUGGCGCACUUUCCUCAGACCCCAAAAGUUCCCUCUUUGGCUGUCAAUAAUAUUUUCAUGAUGAGUUCCUUGUGGUUAUCAUGGAGACUUGCUCUGAUGAUCCUUUUAGUCCUUCAAAGUUGAUUAUUGCAUCACAUUUUUGUUAUUGUAUUAUAUGAAUUUAUUAAAAUUAUACCCACUUAUUCCAUUUGAAAACCCACUCUUGGUUGCUAUCAGCUAUUUCUUUUGACUGGCCAGGCAUGCUUACUAUGGCAGGAUGGCAGAGGCUUCACAGUGUCUUGGUAUACUGAAGAGAGAGGAGGAAUUCCUCAUGCAACAGGUGGUGAAAGAAGUCAAGACCCAGACUGAGGUGAAGCUUGUCCAAUCAGAGUCCCAGGAGGAGAGCUGAAAACUGUCUUUAUAAAAGAAGGGACAGAGCAAGUUCUCUCUCUUGCCAGACUUGAGCCUCUCUCUCCUUUCUCUGGAGCAUUUAAUGUUGGGCAAGCGCUGGAUUAUCUCACAGCCAGUCAGACACUUAAACCAACGCUUGGAGCUGGAGCUGGGGAAGCAUGGAAAAAUUGGUGUCUUAUUCCAUGCAAUAAAGUUUUGUAUGCCAAGUGGGUCAAGCUGAGGUAGGUAUAUGAGGGUGAAGUGCUUCAGAGGGAGUAAAGAUGCUGGAAAGGAGACUUAUGAAUAGAAAAACUAUAUAAUAAUAACAUUGAAGAGAGAAUACCCAAACAAGUCAAGAAGAGCGAUAAUAGAAGAGGUCUCUUGCCACUUUGUAAGCUGGAGGUCCUUGGUCUUUCACUCCUGUCCUGGGUCUUUUGUUGCCACAAAUGCUUGUUUGUAGUGAAGCAGAGUUCCUUGUUCAUUUGUAACUGAGAAUAGGAAACGAGUCCCAUCCUACAUUUGUACAGCACUAAGCAUUUUAUUAUCUUGCUGAUACAUCC